GGACAACCUGCCCUUAGGACGGGGAUAAACCCGGGAAACUGGGUAUAAUACCCGAUAGGUCUCGAUUGCUGGAAUGCAUCGAGAUUUAAAGCUCCGGCGCCUAAGGAUGGGUCUGCGGCCUAUCAGGUAGUAGUGGGUGUAGCGUACCUACUAGCCUACGACGGGUACGGGUUGUGAGAGCAAGAGCCCGGAGAUGGAUUCUGAGACACGAAUCCAGGCCCUACGGGGUGCAGCAGGCGCGAAAACUUUACAAUGCUGGCAACAGCGAUAAGGGAACCUCGAGUGCCAGGUUACAAAUCUGGCUGUCGAGAUGCCUAAAAAGCAUUUCAUAGCAAGGGCCGGGCAAGACCGGUGCCAGCCGCCGCGGUAACACCGGCGGCUCGAGUGGUAACCGUUAUUAUUGGGUCUAAAGGGUCUGUAGCCGGCCGGAUAAGUCUCUUGAGAAAUCUGGCAGCUUAACUGUCAGGCUUUCAGGAGAUACUGUCUGGCUCGAGGCCGGGAGAGGUGAGAGGUACUUCAGGGGUAGGGGUGAAAUCUUGUAAUCCUUGAAGGACCACCAGUGGCGAAGGCGUCUCACCAGAACGGACCUGACGGCAAGGGACGAAAGCUAGGGGCACGAACCGGAUUAGAUACCCGGGUAGUCCUAGCCGUAAACGAUACUCGCUAGGUGUCGGCCACGGUGCGACCGUGGUCGGUGCCGUAGGGAAGCCGUGAAGCGAGCCACCUGGGAAGUACGGCCGCAAGGCUGAAACUUAA
rnacentral:rRNA from 1 species